rnacentral:snoRNA from 1 species
GGGCAGUGAUGAAUUAAUUUGAGAAAGUCAUGCACCACUCUGAUAUUUCCGUGCUGAUAAUUCUCUUUACCCAUUUUUUUCCUGAGCCC